GCUGCCUUAGUAUAAUAUUAGUAUGUUUGUCUUUCGAACUUGUGGAUUGGAUAGCUCCAAAGGUGGUU
rnacentral:tRNA from 1 species